rnacentral:tRNA from 1 species
GGAGAUAGGGAUGGCGAGAUUCAAAGCAGCAACUACACUCGUAGAAGCUUUAGGUAAAGAGCUUUCGGACAGGGGUUCGACUCCCCUCAUCUCCACCA